GACGUAGGGCGCGAGCGUUGUCCGGAUUUAUUGGGCGUAAAGAGCUCGUAGGCGGCUUGUCGCGUCGAAUGUGAAAUCUCGGGGCUCAACUCCGAGCUUGCAUUCGAUACGGGCAGGCUAGAGUUCGGUAGGGGAGACUGGAAUUCCUGGUGUAGCGGUGAAAUGCGCAGAUAUCAGGAGGAACACCGGUGGCGAAGGCGGGUCUCUGGGCCGAUACUGACGCUGGGGAGCGAAAGCGUGGGGAGCGAACGAGG
rnacentral:rRNA from 1 species